AAUCGCAGAAGUGGUCGUCACUUUGGUCAGUGCACACGGCACCCUCACUCUCUCCUUCUUUCACUUUCCCACACACACACACACGCACAGACACGGCGCACCGCGUAGAGGGGUGGGGGAAGGGGCAUCUCGGCUCAUUCCGCUCAGCGACCGCUCAAUAGCGCUUUGCUUUCCACCCACCUCUGUCUAGCUGCGCUAUUCCAUCAUCUAACUAAUCAGCAGCUACACACACACGCACACACAAGAGCAAAAAGGUAGCUCACGCCAACUCAGCAGCUGCUUUCGGGACUAUUCGGACGCGACGUAUUUCUCACAGGCACAUACAACGGGAGCAUCGGGUCCUUUUUAUUUUCUCUUGCGCUUCCUACCUCCUUUUGAAAUCGUGCGACGGUGUCGACAGUUUCGCACUGCUGCCCAUUCACCCCACCUGCACACACGAGCACAUUGUUUAGUACGCUGGCACUCGCUACUGCAGUCGAAUCCUUGCGUUCGCGUAAGCAUAAACGCCCACCCCGCUCGUAGCGUCCGUGUCACCUAUCGCGAGUCAAGCGGAAGCGUGAAGAUGGCGCCAAAGAAGAAUAACACAAAGAAGGAGACGAAGCGUAAGGAACUGACGGAGGAGGACAUGCUUCGUCUCGGCAUGACGCCGGAGGACAUCCGGCGCAUUCUGGAGGAGCGCGGCAAAUCGAGCGAGGACAAGCAAGCGGAGCAAGCCCGCGAGGAGGCUCAGCGCCGCGAGGCCGAGGCCCGCCUGCGCCAGCAGCGCGAUCACCAGAAGCAGGUGGAGAGCAUGGUGGUCGAGGAAACCACCACGCGAGCAACGCUCCGCUACAACGAGGACCAGGAGUGGACGCAAAUGGAGUCUUGUGAGCUGAUGCCGGCAAAGCAGAAGAUCUUGCGCCACGUUGCCGUGAUGGAGGCGCAGCGCCGAGCUGAGGAGGCGAAGCGGCGCCAGGCUGAGGAACUCGCGGCGUACCAAGCGAGGCUGCAGAGCAUGUCAGACGAGCAGCGCGCCGCCUUCUUGGAAGAGGAGAAAGAGAAGGAGAAGCGCCGCAUCGAGGACAUCGUUGCGUCGGAAGAGAAGCGUAUGGAGCGCGAGCGCCGCCGCGAGGCCCGUCGUAAGGCCCGCAAGGAGCGCCUCCUGAACAAUGAGAAUGCCGACGACCUCCUCUCCAGCGAUGACGAAGAGCCUAAGGGCAAGGGCGCAAAGAAGGGAAAAGAGUCGGUCAUCGAUGAGCUGGAGUUCGACCUACAUGAGAAGUACCUGUGAAAGAUGCUGCGCGGGCAGUGGAUGUCUCUAGGAGCUUGAUUAUCCACAGUACACACAGAUGUGGGUAUGGUCGUGGUGCCGGAGCCACUUCUCUGUCGUUGACCGCGGUAAACAAAUGACACGCGCGCACGUGCCGGUGUGCCUUUACGUAGGCAUUUGGUUUCGUAUGGAGGGAAGGGGAGUGGAGGGGAGCUGUUUCUGUCGUUCAAACUUACUUUCUCUCUCUCCUGUCCUUCAUUGAUAAUGUGCUUUGUCUCCUCUAUCAUCUAAGGACCGAAAUUCUAUUCCUAGCGCCUGUGCAAGGACGUCUGUGGUGACGGGGGGUGGUGAGGAUGGGGGUGAAGCGCAGCAGAUGAAAGCGAAGAAAAGAGGUGAAGUGCGCAUGCUCAAGAGGCCAAAGUCACUUUUUCUCUCCCACGCUCCCCCUUUUUCUUUGUCUUGUUUCUUUGUUGUUGGAAAACGGCUUUCCUUGAGUGUUACGUCGUGUCGGGGGAGUGAUGAAUAAUGGCGCCUUGGCACUCUCCUCUCCCCUUUCAUCGGCGCACUAG
rnacentral:misc_RNA from 1 species